AGACGUGGCCCAUGCGGGUGCAUGUGUAGCAUCUGUCGUUAUCAGCUUAAUAUUGGAUAAGAUUCGCAUUUAGGCCCAAGCUAUUAAACUUGUUGUUCCAAGUUGGCGGAGUGCUUGAAGCCUGCUUCAGCUCCGCCGCGUGUCGGCGCGGUAUCGCACUAUCUCCGGGAUCGGCCCACGGUUU